GGUCGGUUAGCUCAGUUGGUUAGAGCAUCGCAAUCACAUCAUAUCAUCUCUGAUGAGAGAUACCUGCGAAGGUCAUAGGUUCAAUCCCCAUACUGACCA